AUAGCUUCUCGGCCUCUUGGCUAAGGUCAGGUGGUAUCUGGUCUUACUAGAUUAAUAUCUGAUUUGUCAUCUCUCUGAAGACACUAUGUGAAAUGGAUUUUUUGAGCAACAAGAUAACAGAAACCUGCUGUGUCCACUCUGUGCAUAGAUCUGGUAUUGCAAUGUCUCCAGGAAGGUUGCACUCCAC
ensembl:snRNA U2 U2 spliceosomal RNA